CCUACGGGUGGCAGCAGUGAGGAAUAUUGGUCAAUGGACGAGAGUCUGAACCAGCCAAGUAGCGUGAAUGAUGACUGCCCUAUGGGUUGUAAACUUCUUUUAUAAAGGAAUAAAACGAGGCACGUGUGCCUUUUUGCAUGUCCUUUAUGAAUAAGGAUCGGCUAACUCCGUGCCAGCAGCCGCGGUAAUACGGAGGAUCCGAGCGUUAUCCGGAUUUAUUGGGUUUAAAGGGAGCGUAGAUGGGUUGUUAAGUCAGUUGUGAAAGUUUGCGGCUCAACCGUAAAAUUGCAAUUGAUACUGGCAGUCUUGAGUACAGUUGAGGUAGGCGGAAUUCGUGGUGUAGCGGUGAAAUGCUUAGAUAUCACGAAGAACCCCGAUUGCGAAGGCAGCUUACUAAACUGUGACUGACAUUGAUGCUCGAAAGCGUGGGUAGCAAACAGGAUUAGAUACCCUUGUAGUC
rnacentral:rRNA from 1 species